GAUGAAGAACGUAGCGAAAUGCGAUACUUGGUGUGAAUUGCAGAAUCCCGUGAACCAUCGAGUCUUUGAACGCAAGUUGCGCCCGAAGCCACUAGGCCGAGGGCACGCCUGCCUGGGCGUCACACGCCGUUGCCCCCCCAUCUACUCCUUCGGGAUCGCGGGGGGGCGGAUGAUGGCCUCCCGUGCGCCUAGCCGCGCGGUUGGCAUAAAUACUAAGUCCUCGGCGACGCACGCCACGACAAUCGGUGGUUGCGAAACCUCGGUUGCCCGUCGUGUGCGUUCGUCGCGCAUCGAGGGCUCGAAAAAAUGCUCGGCUCCGGCUGGGCUUUCAACGCGACCCCAGGUCAGGCGGGGUUACCCGCUGAAUUUAAGCAUAUCAAUAAGCGGAGGA
rnacentral:misc_RNA from 1 species